rnacentral:rRNA from 1 species
CGGGAUUAGUGGCGGACGGGUGAGUAACACGUGGGAACGUGCCCUUUGGUUCGGAACAACUCAGGGAAACUUGAGCUAAUACCGAAUGUGCCCUUCGGGGGAAAGAUUUAUCGCCAUUGGAGCGGCCCGCGUCUGAUUAGCUAGUUGGUGAGGUAAAGGCUCACCAAGGCUUCGAUCAGUAGCUGGUCUGAGAGGAUGAUCAGCCACACUGGGACUGAGACACGGCCCAG